AGGGUGCAAGCGUUAAUCGGAAUUACUGGGCGUAAAGCGUGCGCAGGCGGUUUGUUAAGUCCGUUGUGAAAGCCCCGAGCUCAACUUGGGAAUUGCAGUGGAUACUGGCAGGCUGGAGUACGGUAGAGGAGGGUGGAAUUCCCGGUGUAGCAGUGAAAUGCGUAGAUAUCGGGAGGAACACCAGUGGCGAAGGCGGCCUUCUGGACCAGUACUGACGCUCAUGCACGAAAGCGUGGGGAGCAAACAGG
rnacentral:rRNA from 1 species